rnacentral:misc_RNA from 1 species
AAAAGCGAAAGGUCACUCACUCAUCACGAAAUCUCCGAAACUAUAACACCUACAAACUUGAAAUUUGGCAAGUAGGCUCCUUAUAAGACGUAAGCAUCCGCUAAGAACGGAUUUUACGAAACUCGACCCCUAAGGGGGUAAAACGGGGGGUGGAAGUUUGUAUGAAAGUCCUAUGUUUUUGAAGUAAGAGACUUGAAAUUUAAAAUGUAAGCUCUAUAGAUGGU